rnacentral:piRNA from 1 species
UGUGGUGACUUCUCUGCUAAACUGAGAGC